AUUAUGGGGCACCUGGGUGGCUCAGUGGGUUAAGCGACUGCCUUCGGCUCAGGUCAUGAGCCCACGGUUCUAGGAUGGAGUCUUGCAUGGGGCUUCUUGCUUAGUAGGGAGCCUGCUUCUCUCUCUGCCAGCCACUCCCCCUGCUUGUGCUUGCUCUCUCUUUCUGACAAAUAAAUAAAUAA